AUUUGAAUGUACGUUUUUACCAGGCCGUUGGGUUUAUAUGGAAUGUUACUUCAUGAGUCAUUCAUUACUCCGGUAUUGAUAAAACAGCACGCAACUAAUAAAAGCUAUAAACGAACCUAUUAACACGUUCAGUUUCAUCAGGCGCUUCAUUAGUGACCGAUGCGGGAAUAAUUUCUAAUAUAAUAUUCCGUUUCGUGGUUGGCACAUUCGUAUCAUCUCCGGUGUAAACAGACAACAAUUAUGCAGAGAGAACUAACAAAACGUGUAAAUGGGGCAAUUACCGCUGGCUAUGUAGGCUGCCGUACAAUUAGUGGCUUGCUAAUAGCUUUCAUCACCAAUAGUUUCAUGCUACGCGCCGUGUGGGAGCUCCAUCAGAUCGAGAUCGUCUCUCGCUGUGAUCGCAUCAGAUUUCGGUUGUGGAGUUCGAUAUUCAAAUUUUUUAUCGUUCGAUUUUAAAUUAGGUUGCGUUCAAAUAGUUGCCUUGUAGUUUUUACGACUGACUUUCCGGAUAUUUAGUUUUCAGAUGUGAUUUCGUCGCCGAGUGGGUCACGCAUCAAGGCGCUCUUGGUUGGUACUUGGUAAUGUAAUUUAGUUUAAUUAUUUUAGAAUAAUAAUUGAUUAAAAAAUUAUUAUUCAUUUCAAUACAAUCUGGUAUUAUGCUAUUUAAUUAUUUAUGUUAUAUAAGUUGUAUCUGAAGCAUCUAUAUCAUUUUUUCAGUCCUAAUAUUUUUAUUAUUGUAGGUAAUUUCAUUUCAUUAUAAAUUUAUUCUAUCAAAAUGGUACUAAAAUCUCAAAAUUAUAUAAUUUUUCACUUGUGUGUAUUCUCGAUAUUUCGAUGUAAAUAAUUUUCUCACUAUAUCAUGUUAUAGGUAUGUUUAAAUUUUUCAUGUGUAUACCUAAUAACAUUGUAAUUUGUUUAAAUCGAGACGUUGAAUAUUAAAAUAUUAAACUCUAUGUACCUAGAGUAUGUUAGUUUUUAUUAUCAUACAUAAUUGUACUUAUUUAUAAUAUAACCCGUAUGUAACUUUUGAAUAUGUACAUAAUUGUACAUUAUUUGUGUCUAUGCAAUGUUUCCACUACUUAUUCCUCUGUAGUCCAUAUCUAACUAGCUGGGUUCGAAGAUGCAGAAGAUCAAGGAAGGAAGUUGGUGCCCUACGGCAUCAAUAUUAGUGCCCUACAUCUACCCUGUAGAUCCGAAUUUGUUUGAAGUGAGGCGACAAAUUCGGUUCUAGAGAGGUUUGUGUGGUGCAUGCACUGCGUCCUUCAAGACAAUGUGGGGAGACUGGAAGAAAAAAACCAUGGAGUUUCUUAGUAGUUUAUUAAUAAGUAGUGUUGGUUGUACAUUGACAUAGAUGUAAGAAUAGGAUGUGUGUAAUGUUCUGGUGUGUUUAAUAAAUUGUGUGUAAUGUGUGAGGUAUAUGGAAUUUAUAAAGACUUCAAUCUUUAUAAAUUCCAUAAAGGUAGAGUCAUUUGUAUUAAUGCAACUGUGUAUUUGUAUGUAACAAGAUUUAUGUGUGGAUGUUUAUAUAAUAUUAUAGUAAUAGUGAAGGGAUAAUAUGGUUGUAUAUUUUAUAAGUCACAGCUUUUUUAAAAUAAAUAAAGAUAUUAUUUUAAUCAUAUCACUGAUACGUACCUACAUAGAAGUGAAUAAAUAAUUUAUUACAUGUUCACAAAGUACCAAGUGCCAAAAAUUUUCAAAAGCAGUAUAAAACUGCAUGUAAAUAUUAGCUCUAUGAAGUGUUUUAUUACCACGAAAUAUCAAAUAUUCCGUUCUUCGAGCUUAAAGUAUAAUUAUAUAUCUACCUACCAAUAUUAAUAAGUGAAAUAAACUUAAAUGCUAAAAUUAAAAAAACCUUAUUUAACACACCAAUAAUAUUUAGAUUAAUAGCAAUAUACAAUUAUAAUAAUUAACUUCAAUGGUACUUUAACCCGGUAAAUAUUUAUUUUUAUUUUUUAUUUACUUCCUUAAGUUAUUACUAUAGAAAAUAUCUUCUAACAAACUGUUAAAUUAAUCUAUUACAUUUUGUAUGCUUUCUGCUUUUUGUAUAUAAUAAAAAAAUAAACCUGCAGAUUAAAAAAAUCUCCUUUUACAAUUCUUCUUCUUCUUUAGAUUAGGAUAAUAUGUUAUGUGCCCUCAAUGUAUUUACGUGGUUUUUGUAUAAUGUUAAUACAAAUUAUUGUAACUGUGUAUAAUUUUAGAACUACAUUUUCUGGUAUGUUGAUAUAUUUAAUUUAACGCGUAAAAAUAACCGUCAAUAAGGAUAUUGACUGGUUCAGGGUUUUGACUGUAACAUGCAUAACAUUGUCCUACAAAAAUUUAGAUUUAAAAUUUUAAUGGUCCUUUAUAAUAUCAUGUUGUAAACAUUGUAUUACUAUAGGUAUUUAUUUGGAACAAUUGUCCAUGUUCUAGCUGGUAAAUUUAUGUGAUAUUAUUAUGUGAUUGUCUGUUUCUAAGUAUUAUGAACGGUAUUCAUAUACAUUCUUGAUUUUUUACAUGUGCCUAGGUUGAAUAUACAAAAUAAUAAAAAAUACCAUCAUAA